GCGUCUAAAACCAACGAAGAAGGAUGUCCACGAAGACGUGCUUGUCCCCCACGUCAGGGCUAAAAAAGUUAAAUUUAUUAUAAUGAAUGACCAGUGUAACUCUUGUCAUAAGAUUACAUUGUUGAAAUGGGGCUUUUUACGAUGUGUACAAGUGUGACGUGCCUCGCGGAACUUCAGUCAAGUCAAAUUGGGUCGUGGAAGUCCUGCAGCUGUCAACGAGCAGGAGGCGGGGUACACCCUGAACUGGUUGCCAGCCAAUCGCAGGGCAUAUGGAGACAGACAACAGUCGCAUUCCCAAUCACACCUAUGGACAAUUUAGAGUCUGCAAUGAAUGCAUUUUUGGGGAUGUGGGAGGAAACUGGAGUGCCUGGAGAAAACCCACGCCGGGAGGGCCGGGAUUUGAACCCAGGUCCCCAGAACUGUGAGGCAAACGCUCUACAGCUGCGGCACCGUGCCGCCAUCCUUCUAUGAAUCGCCGAUAAACUGAAUUCAUACCUGCCUGGUGACCAAAAUGGCUGCAUAUAACUGGUAUUUAUCACGCAUUAUUUCUUGUGCCAGCGAAAAUUAGGGAUUUUCACAGUUUUGCCACUUUUCUUUGUCCGCAUGCAUUUCAAUAAAAGCUUACAAAGCC